rnacentral:rRNA from 1 species
GAUGAACGCUGGCGGCGUGCCUAACACAUGCAAGUCGAACGCUGAAGGAAGGAGCUUGCUCUUUCCGGUUGAGUUGCGAACGGGUGAGUAACGCGUAGGUAACCUGCCUGGUAGCGGGGGAUAACUAUAGGAAACGAUAGCUAAUACCGCAUAACAGUAGAUGUUUCAUGAUACCUACUUAAAAGGUGCAAUUGCAUCACUACAAGAUGGACCUGCGUUGUAUUAGCUAGUUGGUGAGGUAACGGGUCACCAAGGAGUCGAUACAUAGCCGACCAGAGAGGGUGAUCGGCCACGCUGGGACUGGAGCACGGCCCAGACUCCUACGGGUGGGAGCCGGAGGGGAUCUUCGGCAAAGGACGGAAGUCUGAACGAGCAACGCCGCGUGAGAGAAUGAGGUUGUCGGGUCGUAAAACUCAGGUGUGAGAGAAGGACGAGUGUGAGAGUGAAAAGUUCACACUAUGACGGUACCUUAAGAGAAAGCGACGGCUAACUACGUG